AAUCUCGUGCCAGCAGCCGCGGUAAUACGGGAGGGGCAAGCGUUAUUCAAAAUAAUUGGGCGUAAAGGGUUCGUAGACGGUAUUUUAAGUUAAAUGUAAAAUUUUAAAGCUUAACUUUAAACAUAAUAUUUAAUACUAUUAUACUUGAGUUAUAAAUAGAAAAGUAGAAUUUUAUGAGUAGGGAUAAAAUCUGCAAAUACAUAAAGGAAUAUCGAUAGCGAAGGCAACUUUUUAGUAAUAACUGACGUUGAGGAACGAAAGUAUAGGUAGCAAACAGGAUUAGAUACCCUGGUAGUCUAUACUGUAAACGCUGAGUGCUAGAAUUUAAAAAAAUUAGAUUUUAUAAGCUAACGCAAUAAGCAUUCCGCCUGAGGAGUAUGAUUGCAAGAUUGGAACUCAAAGGAAUUGACGGGGGCCUAUUACAAGUGGUGGAGCAUGUGGUUUAAUGCGAUAAUACGCGCGAAACCUUACCAGCUUUUGACAUAAAAGAAAAAUUUUAAAAAUUUAAAGUAAAACUAAUUUUACUUAUACAAGUGUUAGUUUUAUUAAAUUCUUUGUACAGGUGUUGCACGACUGUCGUCAGUUCGUGUCGUAAGAUGUUUGGUUAAUUCCUUUAACGAACGUAACUCUUGUCUUUAAAAUAUACUUAAAAUAAGAAUUUUUUAUAGUUUUAAAGAUACUGCCACCUAUAAGUUGGAGGAAGGUGAGAAUUAUGUCAAGUCACUGUGGCCCUAAUAAGCUGGGCUACACAUGUGCUACAUUGAAAAUUACAAAAAGUAACUGAAAAUUGAAUAAAUUUUAGUUAAUCUCAAAAAAUUUUCAAGGUUCGGAUUGUAAGUUGCAACUCACUUACAUGAAGGUGGAAUCACUAGUAAUCGCAAAUCAGAACGUUGCGGUGAAUAGUAAAUUGGUCUU
rnacentral:rRNA from 1 species